GGCUUAAUUCGACGCAACGCGAAGAACCUUACCAAGGCUUGACAUAUACAGGAAUAUGGCAGAGAUGUCAUAGCCGCAAGGUCUGUAUACAGUUGGUGCAUGGUUGUCGUCAGCUCGUGUCGUGAGAUGUUGGGUUAAGUCCCGCAACGAGCGCAACCCUCGUUCUGUGUUGCCAGCAUUUAGUUGGGGACUCACAGGAGACUGCCGGGGUUAACUCGGAGGAAGUUGGGGAUGACGUCAAAUCAUCAUGCCCCUUAUGUCUUGGGCUGCACGCAUGCUACAAUGGCUGGUACAAACGGCUGCAAUACCGCAAGGUGGAGCGAAUCCGAGAAAGCCAGUCUCAGUUCGGAUUGGGGUCUGCAACUCGACCCCAUGAAGUCGGAGUUGCUAGUAAUCGUAGAUCAGCAACGCUACGGUGAAUACGUUCCCGGGGCUUGUACACACCGCCCGUCACGUCACGAAAGUCGGUAACACCCGAAGUCAGUGGCCCAA
rnacentral:rRNA from 1 species